AGCUAGAAACCUUGCCUGAGAU
rnacentral:miRNA from 1 species